rnacentral:tRNA from 1 species
GGUCUAAUAGUGUAGAGGUUAUCACACGGGAUUUUGAUAACCCACCCCCAGAGCUAAAUAUCUUCUUCCCGUAACCCAGGUUCGAGUCCUGGUUAGACCU